GACGUAGGGCGCGAGCGUUGUCCGGAUUUAUUGGGCGUAAAGAGCUCGUAGGCGGCUUGUCGCGUCGACUGUGAAAACCCGCGGCUCAACCGCGGGCCUGCAGCCGAUACGGGCAGGCUAGAGUUCGGUAGGGGGCGAUGGAAUUCCUGGUGUAGCGGUGAAAUGCGCAGAUAUCAGGAGGAACACCGAUGGCGAAGGCAGGCUCUGGGCCGAUACUCUGAGGAGCGAAAGCGUGGGGAGCGAACAGG
rnacentral:rRNA from 1 species